AGAGUUUGAUUCUGGCUCAGAUUGAACGCUGGCGGAAUGCUUUACACAUGCAAGUCGAACGGCAGCACGGGAGCUUGCUCCUGGUGGCGAGUGGCGAACGGGUGAGUAAUGCGUCGGAACGUACCGAGUAAUGGGGGAUAACGCAGCGAAAGCUGUGCUAAUACCGCAUACGCCCUGAGGGGGAAAGUGGGGGAUCGCAAGACCUCACGUUAUUCGAGCGGCCGACGUCUGAUUAGCUAGUUGGUGGGGUAAAGGCUCACCAAGGCGACGAUCAGUAGCGGGUCUGAGAGGAUGAUCCGUCACACUGGAACUGAGACACGGUCCAGACUCCUACGGGAGGCAGCAGUGGGGAAUUUUGGACAAUGGGGGCAACCCUGAUCCAGCCAUUCCGCGUGAGUGAAGAAGGCCUUCGGGUUGUAAAGCUCUUUCAGCCGGAACGAAACGGUACGCACUAAUAUUGUGUGCUAAUGACGGUACCGGCAGAAGAAGCACCGGCUAACUACGUGCCAGCAGCCGCGGUAAUACGUAGGGUGCGAGCGUUAAUCGGAAUUACUGGGCGUAAAGCGUGCGCAGGCGGAUUGUUAAGCAAGAUGUGAAAUCCCCGGGCUUAACCUGGGAAUGGCAUUUUGAACUGGCAGUCUAGAGUGUGUCAGAGGGGGGGUGGAAUUCCACGUGUAGCAGUGAAAUGCGUAGAUAUGUGGAGGAACACCAAUGGCGAAGGCAGCCCCCUGGGAUAACACUGACGCUCAUGUACGAAAGCGUGGGUAGCAAACAGGAUUAGAUACCCUGGUAGUCCACGCCCUAAACGAUGUCAACUGGUUGUUGGGGGGAGUGAAAUCCCUUAGUAACGAAGCUAACGCGUGAAGUUGACCGCCUGGGGAGUACGGUCGCAAGAUUAAAACUCAAAGGAAUUGACGG
rnacentral:rRNA from 1 species